GACGAACGCUGGCGGCGUGCUUAACACAUGCAAGUCGAGCGGUAAGGCCCUUUCGGGGGUACACGAGCGGCGAACGGGUGAGUAACACGUGGGUGACCUGCCCUCAGCUCUGGGAUAAGCCUGGGAAACCGGGUCUAAUACCGGAUAUGACUCCAUGACGCAUGUUGUGGGGUGGAAAGCCUUGUGCGGCUGAGGAUGGGCCCGCGGCCUAUCAGCUUGUUGGUGGGGUGAUGGCCUACCAAGGCGACGACGGGUAGCCGGCCUGAGAGGGCGACCGGCCACACUGGGACUGAGACACGGCCCAGACUCCUACGGGAGGCAGCAGUGGGAAUCUUGCGCAAUGGGCGAAAGCCUGACGCAGCGACGCCGCGUGAGGGAUGACGGCCUCGGUGUAAC
rnacentral:rRNA from 1 species